GGAUGAUGAUCACGAUGAUGAUGACGAUGAUGAUGAUGAUGAUGAUGAUGAUAAUGACAUCAACAUCCUCAUCAUCAUCAUCAUCAUCAUCAUCAUAA
rnacentral:pre_miRNA from 1 species